GUUCUUCCCAAUGAUUGAUGAAGUAGCAAUAAGAUACAUUUCAAUUAUCUGGAUUUUGUGACAGAAUAGAUACAUACAUCACUAUGAAGAUAUACUAAAAUUACAUACAUACAACAUGCUUAAACCUUUUGAUUUCCAUCUUGUGGACUCAAAAAUUAGAAGAAUUCUUCCUUGUGCGAUGCCUAACUGAGUUGUAUUUGGAUGAUUUGCAGUCUGUCAUCAGACAAGACUCAACUCAUCAGAUAGGGACACACCUUUAGAGAUGUCAUUCAACUCAGCAGCAGUGAUCUUUUUACGCAACGCCAUCAGCUGCUCUCCAACAUUACAUAUGUAUGCAGAAGCUUGCCUACCUGAAAGAGUUGCUCCUUCCAUGCUAUCGAUGUAGUCCUGUUUUGUAUAUGAGCCAGCAAGAAAGAAAUUUUCCACUGGCGUCUUCUGAUCAGGUCUGAAUGGGUCUUUACCAGGUCCUUCACGAUAUAAAGAUUGUCCUAUCUUCACAACUGAUGACCAGGUAACCUCAAGACCUUGGGACGAAGGAAAUAAUGCCAAAACCUGCUUUGUAACUCUUUUAAUGAUUUCAUCAUUUGAUAGAGGCAUGUAAGGGUCACCAGGUGUAAGGACACAUUGAAGCAAUGAGCCUUGUCCCUCAAUGUAGUAAUCAUCUGGAGAUGCCAAUGCAAGAUCUGCAAAGCAAGAGAAAUCUGCAUCUGGCGUAUAGAGGAGAUUGUCCAAUCCUGCAGCGCGCUUCAAUUGCCUCGAACGCUCCAAGUCCUGCAACUCUGUAACCCAGCCAUUGUAGCGUAGUUGUACGGUAACAACAGGCACUCCGACCAAUUUGUAAAUGUUGUCAAAGAAUUCCAAUUCCCUCCACUUCUGAGGAACCAAUCUUUUAAUUCCAGGGACAUCACAUGCAGCCACAUAUGCAUCAGCUUUUACAAUUUUCUUCUGAGUGGCCUUUGACAUGGCAAGCCCACUAACAUACAUGCUUCCAUCAGAGGACGUCUCAUAGAGUACCUCUCUGCAUCCCCACCUCAGAUGGAACCUGCCCCCUUUGUCCAUGAUGUACUUCUUAAUUGGACCACUCAAAUAAACGUCAGGAGAACCUUUAAGCAUGCGUAAUAGGGAAGCCUCUGUUUUUGUGGCAAAUAAUGCAAAUAUAGUGAGCAUACACCGAGCACUCAUGUUAUCACAGUCAAUGAAUCCAAGAGCAUAUGCAACAGGAUCCCACAUCCUCUGGAUGCUAGCACGCGUCCCACCUUUAGACAGAAACCACUCAGAAAAGCUUACAUUAUCUAGAUCGCGUAUCUGCUGCAAUGCACCAUCCGGAUCAACUAAAGCCCGCACCACUGGACUAAGGGCAAGAGCUACAGCAUUUCUAGCUUUAUCAUAAAUCUUUAACUGAUUAGUAGACAGAAAUGCAUUAAUUCCAUGUAAGGGUGCUCCAACUGGAAAGCGGAAAUCAAGUUCCCCUAUUUCACCCCCUUUAUUUACAAAUGUGUGAGUAUGCUCCUUCACUAGCAGAUUUUUUUCAGCACCCACCUUUUUCAACAGACGGAACAGAUUAUUAUAACAACCAAAGAACACGUGCAGUCCCAUUUCAAUGUGGUUCCCACGUCUAUCAACAAAAGAACCCACUUUCCCACCAAUAAAAGUCCUUGAUUCGUAUAUAUCCACCUCAUGUCCUUGAUCCAAGAGCUCCACAGCAGUCGACAUGCCUGCAAGCCCAGCUCCAAUAAUAGCUACUUUCAGCUUUGGCCCCCGAUAAUGUUCAGGCUCGGGUGGAAAUAGCCCUUUUGGAGCGUUGGUACUCAUAUCAGAAACCAUAGAAUCCAAAUCAGCCCGAAUAACCGACUUUCGGGUCACUAACCGGUUGGACAAACGGGUACCACCAAAAACCAAGAAUCCAGGUGACCCAUUUGGGAAAACAUGUUUCUUUCCAGUAGCAGAAGUUGCAGGACAAGAAAGAUAAGCUGAAGAAGUAGCCAUGGGAAUUGUUCUCUACCCAAUUAUGAGGGUAGGAAAAAAAAGAAAGAAACUUUUCUUGUUAAAUAUCAAGAAAAUGGGUUAACAAGAAAGAAAGACAAAAGAAAAAGAGAGGGUAUCUAAAGAUUACAAGAUACCAUAACUGGCCUAGAGAAAUUCUUACUUAAUUGUAGUACAAUAGAAUUGGGUUUGUUUU
rnacentral:misc_RNA from 1 species